rnacentral:rRNA from 1 species
AUUGAACGCUGGCGGCAGGCCUAACACAUGCAAGUCGAGCGGAUGAGUGGAGCUUGCUCUCUGAUUCAGCGGCGGACGGGUGAGUAAUGCCUAGGAAUCUGCCUGGUAGUGGGGGACAACGUUUCGAAAGGAACGCUAAUACCGCAUACGUCCUACGGGAGAAAGCAGGGGACCUUCGGGCCUUGCGCUAUCAGAUGAGCCUAGGUCGGAUUAGCUAGCAGGUGAGGUAAUGGCUCACCAAGGCGACGAUCCAUAACUGGUCUGAGAGGAUGAUCAGUCACACUGGAACUGAGACACUGUCCAGACUCCUACUGGAGGCAGCAGUGGGGAAUAUUGGACAAUGGGCGAAAGCCUGAUCCAGCCAUGCCGCGUGUGUGAAGAAGGUCUUCGGAUUGUAAAGCACUUUAAGUUGGGAGGAAGGGCAGUAAGUUAAUACCUUGCUGUUUUGACGUUACCAACAGAAUAAGCACCGGCUAACUACGUGCCAGCAGCCGCCGUAACAC